rnacentral:rRNA from 1 species
AUUGAACGCUGGCGGCAGGCCUAUCACAUGCAAGUCGAACGAGUGGCGGACUGGUGAGUAAUGUCUGGGAAACUGCCCGAUGGAGGGGGAUAACUACUGGAAACGGUAGCUAAUACCGCAUACCAUCGGAUGUGCCCAGAUGGGAGUAGCUAGUAGGAGGGGUAACGGCUCACCUAGGCUACGAUCCCUAGCUGGUCUGAGAGGAUGACCAGCCACACUGGAACAGAGAAACGGGCCAGACACCUACGAGAGGCAGAAGGGGGUAAUAUUGAGCAAUGGGGUAAACCCUGACGCAGCCAUGCCGCUUGAAUGAAGAAGGACUUCGGGAUGUAAAGUUCUUUCGGUAGCGAGGCGUUAACUACAAAUGAAGCACCGGCUAACUCCGUGCCAGCCGCCGCGGUAAUUC